GAGGCCCACCAACUGCCCUGGGGCCCCUGGGGAGGUUGAUCCAGCCAUGAUGAAGACUGUGGAUGAGGAGAUGCUGGAAACAGACUGGAGUGGAAUGGAAUGUUCAGAAGUGAUGUUACCAUGUAACCACUCUGCAACAUUCUAUAGCAACUAAAGAGAGAUUCACGUCGCCUAUGAAAUUCAGCGUGUGAAGACGUACUCUCCAGAGCUCGAGGCUUUCCAAGCAGUUUUGUAAAAACAUUUUACAAUAUAGACCAGAAGCACCUCUGAACAUCAUUGAAAGAGGAAGCGUCAGGACGAGCAGGAAGAGCAGCACAUCAAGAAGCCACCAAACGCAUUCAUGAUCUUUGUGAAGGAGCAGAGGGCAAAGGUUAAAGCAGAAAUGAACAUCAGUGGGAAUGCCACCCUUAAUGCAGUCAUGGGAGAGAGGUGGAAAUCGCUGUCGUGGGACCAGCAGGCAAAGUAUUACGAGCAGGCUGAUCAAGAGAGAAGGCUCCAUGCCCAAAAAUACCCAAACUGGUCUGCCAAAGUUAACUAUGCUAUGCUGCCCAUAGCAGCAUAAGUAAGGGAUGGUUCAGGGUCACCUGAUCCAGCCCUAACUAUAAGCUUGAUCAAAAAGGAAAGUUUUAAUCCUAAGCUUAAAAAUAGAGAGGGUGUCUGUCUCCCGAU